rnacentral:tRNA from 1 species
UGGGAUGUGCUCAGUGGUAAGGUGCUUGCCUAGCCUGCACGAAGCCCUGGGUUCAACCCCAGAACCUCAA